GGAGAGAGGUGAACCAGGAUUCCCUGGAAAACCAGGAGAGGCCGGCCUGAGAGGAAAAGAUGGAGAAGCUGGAGUCCCUGGAGAGCCAGGAGUGAGAGGAAUCAGGGGUCCUCCUGGACCCCCAGGACGUCCUGGAGAACAAGGAAUGAAAGGAGAUCCAGGAGAACCUGGGAAGGAUGUAAGGAAUCCCUGAAGGAGCAGC